UUCCAGAUUUCCUUUUUAUUUCCUCUUUUUAACACCAUUUUUUUUUUGCUCCAUUACUUCUUUUAUAUGCUUCCAUGUCAUUACACUUUUAGACUACUAGAACUGUUAGAUUGCUAUAUCCAUGUAGCAUUUGUUUUAAACUGCUAGGCUGUUCUUCCCAUGUAUGAACUUUUCUAUGUAGUGUAGUUUCGGAUCACUAAGGGAGUGUUUGAGGAGAAGGGGAUUGAGGAGAUUGGUAAGAUACGCAAAACGAGGUUUGAGUUCAAUGCCAUUUUCAACGAUCCUAAUGUUCUGCUAGUGAAAGUGCAACUUGGCAAUCUCCUUUUUUUUAAAAAAGAAACACAAUGUUCUCUUUUUUUCCCGCAUCAUGUUUUUAUUGUGCAAUUCAACUAUUUUUAUCAACAUUUUUUCAACCUGUCAAUUUGCCAUAUACAAAAAUGACGAGCUGAUAAACUCCAUAGUGCAAACCUGAAA